rnacentral:lncRNA from 1 species
UUCGAUGAUUCGGAGCUAUAGACACCCUCGACCUAUCGAUUGAAUAAUUAAAUUAAAUUUUUAGCCCCUAGAUCUCCUUCUCGGACUCAAAUCUAAAUAUAUAAAAUUUUUAAAUAUGAAAAUUUAAAAUAAAUAAAAGAGCUUAGUAAUAUAAUUAUUUGAUAUGAUGGUUGAGAUAACGAGUCCAAUUGAUCGUACAGCUGC